rnacentral:rRNA from 1 species
UACGGGAGGCAGCAGUGGGGAAUCUUCCACAAUGGGCGAAAGCCUGAUCCAGCACACGCCGCGUGAUGUGAAGAAGGUCUUCGGAUCGUAAAACCUCCUGUUGUCUUGGGAAGAAGCAACUGCCGUUUAAAUA